rnacentral:rRNA from 1 species
UACGUAGGAUGCAAGCGUUGUCCGGAAUUAUUGGGCGUAAAGAGCGCGCAGGCGGUUUUACAAGUCAGAUGUGAAAUACCCGGGCUUAACCCGGAGGGGUCAUUUGAAACUGUGAGACUAGAGUACAGCAGAGGAUAGCGGAAUUCCCGGUGUAGUGGUGAAAUGCGUAGAUAUCGGGAGGAACACCAGUGGCGAAGGCGGCUAUCUGGGCUGAAACUGACGCUGAGGCGCGAAGGCUAGGGGAGCAAACAGG